UACGGAGGGUGCAAACGUUGCUCGGAAUCACUGGGCGUAAAGGGCGCGUAGGCGGCCAUUCAAGUCGGGGGUGAAAGCCUGUGGCUCAACCACAGAAUUGCCUCGAUACUGUUUGGCUUGAGUAUGGUAGAGGUUGGUGGAACUGCGAGUGUAGAGGUGAAAUUCGUAGAUAUUCGCAAGAACACCGGUGGCGAAGGCGGCCAAACUGGACCAUUACUGGACGCUGAGGCGCGAAAGCGUGGGAGCAAACAGG
rnacentral:rRNA from 1 species